UUAUAGCAUUAGACGAAUUAAAUUUGAAAAUAAGAUACACACCGUAUAUCCACACUUGAAUCUAAGAACGAAAAGUGCUCACGUGGCAGUCGAGAAUGAACCGCACUAAAGUAAAGAACGUGGUCUGACCAAAUAUCAAAAUGGCUACGUUAAAGAUUGACUAUGGUGUAAUAAAAUUAGAAGCCUUAUCGUAUAAUUAAGAAAAACAAAUUUAGCCUUAACUCAACAACCAUUUACCGUUCACCAAUGAUCAGUCACCCCAUGCUGUGCACAGGAAUAUACGUGAGCAAUGAGUUCAGAUUGUUUCUGGAAACUCCUGAACUCCUCAUUUACAAUGUGGACUCUUCCAGCAGAAAUUGUAGGAAAUUCACCAUGUCUAAAAUAGAAAUAAGAAAGGAGCUUACUUAAAUCAAUUUCUAUAUUUAUAGAAAUUCAUUUAAGUACAGAUUCAAAUUGAAAUUGAAAAAUUUGAAGGUACCCUCUUAGUAAAUACAAAACUUCAAAAAAUUGGUUUAUCAAACAACAAAAUUGCCACGUUGACGACUGACGCCGAGACUGAAUUUAAUUUUCUGGGAAAUUUAGUAGACUUGAGGUAUCUCAAUUAGAGGGAGAGUCUACUAGGUAGUCUGCAUCUUUCGUUCACUGUGGUAAAAAGAGAAGAAGUUGAUAUGGUAAAUUAUAGAAUUAAACAAAUUUCAGUGAGUAUAAUGUUACUUCUUUUGGAAAUAGUCAAUAUUUAUUUAUUUUUUAUUUACACUUUCAGUUGGUAAUUUUAUUUAAUAUCCCUACACCUAAGUCACAUCAAAUAACGAAAUUUCGGGAAUCAACAAUACAACGAAUGAUUAUAUGCAAUUGCAACUUCUUCUAUUUUUACCAUAGUGUAAGAAAAAUUCACACUAUUUCAUAGAUUUAUGCUCAAAUUUAGAUACCUCAAGCCUAGUAAAUUGUCUAAAAAAUUCAA